CCUUCUGAUUGGAUAAAAGAAAAAUAACUUAUUUUUUUUUCUUCUACUCGCUCUUUUCUCCGACUUCAUCUCUUCGUAUCUCUCUCUAUUUGGCGACUGUGGAUGUUAAAUGAUGCUUCAAACUGUUUAUAUUGUUUCAGAUGGGUUAUCAUCUUCUUAAAACGAUUGGGAAUUGAUGUUACCAAAGCUAGAGAUCUAUGCGAUGCUAAUCGUCUCCUUUCUCAAGGACGUUCUCUCUUUCAAGCUUUUCCUCUCUCUUUUUUUUAUUUUGUUUCCUGGGUUUUUUUAGCUUCGAAUUUGUUUAAUUGAAGUAGAACUCUGCAUAAAAAAAAUAUACAAAACGUUAAAGGAAGCUUGUAAGGAAUUUGUUCUUGUUCUGACUUGUGUAAGGUAUCCUCUAGAUUUGUGUUCUUGUUAUUUGUGUUUAUAAUUAUCAGGAUGAAAAUAGGUUUGAGCUAAUUGCUAUAUUUGUUGUAGUUUGAUUUAAUUGUUUGGUGUUUGUUUUUAAGAUUCGUUUUUUCUUAAGGUCCUUUUGUGUUAUCUUAGUAUUUCUUUUGCUUUGCAGUGAUCCUCCAAGCUCUGAAGUCAAGAAAGCACCAACAAGAUCUAGUUGCAGUUCCUACGAUCUCCAUGGCUUCCGGUGAUGUUCUUCGUCGUUUCAUCAGUGUCUAUCUUUCCCAGUACAGCUCUGACUCCUUGGUGACGUAUUGGGUGUGAAGAGGACAAUUUGAUCCGAAUGCAAUGACAGCAAAAUCAAGGGGCGCUUCCUCUGCUUGUAUGUUCUGUAACUGCCCCGUCGAGUGCACAGGACCACCUUUUCACUUGUAGUUACUCAACCAUGCAUCUUGGAUAAAUUAACUCGACGCCUUCUCCUCUACUAAUGUUAGACUACAUACUAGCUUUGAUAACCUGCUUCUCCUCGUCUCUUCGUAUGACUUCACUGCUACAACGCUAUUCAUUCUGCAUUAUAUUUUUUUAUGUUUCGAUCCACUAAAUAAGGAGAGAGGAAUCAGCGACGGCAUAGGUAACAAACAACUUUUACAUGCAAGCACAUUGAUAGUCAAGUUCAUGAAAAAUUAAGCACACUUCAGCAAAGAGGAUCUUCCAAGUUUAAAGCUUUAGUUUGAAGCUCAA